UGCUGUUACUACAACCCUCAGUGAAUUAUUUUUCGGGAGGUUUUGGCGGAUUUUCCAAGUCAUGAUCCAAAACCGUCUUUGGCCUUUUUGCUCUCCUAGUCUGUUGUACAUGGUAAUGUGAAGUGACCCAAUAAUUGGUAGUAUAGACAGAAUGGUUGGCAGUGACAUUUACUGUGGCAAGCUGUUAUUCAAGAAUUUGUCAUUAUUCCCAGAAGCUAACUACUGGUUUAAAUAAUUAGUCUUUUGUUCCCUGUACACAACUUGCUUAGACUGAUAUGCUAUAUGGGAGUUAUGUCUACUUUAUUUGUAAAAUUGGUAAAAUUACCAAUAGAAUUACCAAUAAAGUUUUCAGUAGUUUUGUCCAGAUUUCAUUGAAAAUGAAUGUGAGGAGUGAUCAGUCAUAUUCCUUAAGAGUGUUUAAGCUUCCAGCAUGAGAGCUAAUAAAUUUCUUGAGUUAUUCAUACAUGAUUUGUCUCCUGUAAAAUUGUCUCAGCUAAACCCCCAGGCAAAUGUCUAUAAAUUUCUUUAAAUAGCAGCCAGGUUGGUGUUCGUUACCACUUAAAAUGCAGUAUCAAAGUCUCCUUUUGACUUCAGUCUUAUUUCUCUAAAAUCUAAUAGGUGUAAAUGAUCCAUUUUCAUAAAAAAA